UAAUUAUAUUUCAGUAUUCCACAGUAACAUCUGACAAAAAUAUCUAAAGACACUGAAGCAACAAACUUUGUGGAAAUUAAUAUUUGUGUCAUUCUCAAAACUUUUGGCCAUGACUAGAGACAAUAUAACAGGGCGUGUGUGUGUGUGUGUGUGUGUGUGUGUGUGUGUGUCCUACGUGAUGGAGUUCUGGUGCAGUGUCUCCAGGGCUGUGUGUGUGUGUGUGUCCUACGUGAUGGAGUUCUGGUGCAGUGUCUCCAGGGCUGUGUGUGUGUGUGUGUGUCCUACAUGAUGGAGUUCUGGUGCAGUGUCUCCAGGGCUGUGUGUGUGUGUGUGUCCUACAUGAUGGAGUUCUGGUGCAGUGUCUCCAGGGCUGUGUGUGUGUCCUACGUGAUGGAGUUCUGGUGCAGUGUCUCCAGGGCUGGCUGUGUGUGUGUGUCCUACGUGAUGGAGUUCUGGUGCAGUGUCUCCAGGGCUGUGUGUGUGUGUGUGUCCUACGUGAUGGAGUUCUGGUGCAGUGUCUCCAGGGCUGUGUGUGUGUGUCCUACGUGAUGGAGUUCUGGUGCAGUGUCUCCAGGGCUGUGUGUGUGUGUGUGUCCUACGUGAUGGAGUUCUGGUGCAGUGUCUCCAGGGCUGUGUGUGUGUGUGUGUGUGUCCUACGUGAUGGAGUUCUGGUGCAGUGUCUCCAGGGCUGUGUGUGUGUGUGUCCUACGUGAUGGAGUUCUGGUGCAGUGUCUCCAGGGCUGUGUGUGUGUGUGUGUCCUACGUGAUGGAGUUCUGGUGCAGUGUCUCCAGGGCUGGCUGUGUGUGUGUGUGUCCUACGUGAUGGAGUUCUGGUGCAGUGUCUCCAGGGCUGUGUGUGUGUGUGUCCUACGUGAUGGAGUUCUGGUGCAGUGUCUCCAGGGCUGUGUGUGUGUGUGUGUCCUACGUGAUGGAGUUCUGGUGCAGUGUCUCCAGGGCUGUGUGUGUGUGUCCUACGUGAUGGAGUUCUGGUGCAGUGUCUCCAGGGCUGUGUGUGUGUGUGUCCUACGUGAUGGAGUUCUGGUGCAGUGUCUCCAGGGCUGUGUGUGUGUGUGUGUGUGUCCUACGUGAUGGAGUUCUGGUGCAGUGUCUCCAGGGCUGUGUGUGUGUGUGUCCUACGUGAUGGAGUUCUGGUGCAGUGUCUCCAGGGCUGUGUGUGUGUGUGUGUCCUACGUGAUGGAGUUCUGGUGCAGUGUCUCCAGGGCUGUGUGUGUGUGUGUGUGUGUCCUACGUGAUGGAGUUCUGGUGCAGUGUCUCCAGGGCUGUGUGUGUGUGUGUCCUACGUGAUGGAGUUCUGGUGCAGUGUCUCCAGGGCUGUGUGUGUGUGUGUGUCCUACGUGAUGGAGUUCUGGAGCAGUGUCUCCAGGGCUGUGUGUGUGUGUGUUGUGUCCUACGUGAUGGAGUUCUGGUGCAGUGUCUCCAGGGCUGUGUGUGUGUGUGUUGUGUCCUACGUGAUGGAGUUCUGGUGCAGUGUCUCCAGGGCUGUGUGUGUGUGUCCUACGUGAUGGAGUUCUGGUGCAGUGUCUCCAGGGCUGUGUGUGUGU